rnacentral:lncRNA from 1 species
UUGAAAGGGUUCUCUAAGAGCGAAGUAAUUGAUGAUGACGAUGAUGAUAAUUACAACGAUUUGAAAGGGUUCUCUAAGAGCGAAGUAAUUGAUGAUGACGAUGAUGAUAAUUACAACGAUUUGAAAGGGUUCUCUAAGAGCGAGGUAACUGUUAUUGAUACCAGUUCGUCUGGGUGGAAGGUCGUGAAGUUCGUGUAUCGGAAGCAAAAUGUUUGGAAACUCAGAGAGAGGAAACGAAAGUUAAGGUUAUUGGCUAAUAAGGAGAACAAUAACAUUCCUAAGGAAAAUGUAAUGAACAUUGGAGGAGAGAGGCCAAAACAAUUGGCCUGACUUUUCAUCCUAAAAAAGAAGCAAGUGCACUUAUUACAACCUUCUUUUGGUUAUUGGGUUUUCUUCUGAUGCUAUAACAACUAGGCUAUUCUGGUAGGAAGGAUUUGAAGAUUAGGGAAUGUAAGGAAAUUGAUGAGGUAACUUUCUGUCUUCAAAUAAUUUGUACCAAACAUAGCUAUAAAUUCCAGCACUCAAUGUUUAUGAACUGAGAAUAUUUUUUGUUGGAUUACUUACUGAGAAUAUACCAUCAUGCAUUGAAUAUACCAUCAUGCAC